rnacentral:lncRNA from 1 species
UAGGCCGUUGUCCACAUGCCUCUCCUCUUGGUUAGAGAAGAAAAACUGUAACAAGUGUAGCAUGUAAAGCAAAAGUAACAAAUCAGGAUCUUGAGUAGGUGCAUCUGAAAGUACAUGAACCUAGAUAAUUUGAUAUGCUUUAGUAGAUUUUCCACUAUUUUAAAAAUUAGAAUUGUUGCCAUUAGGAAGCAAUCAGAUUA